rnacentral:rRNA from 1 species
CCAGGUUGAUUCUGCCUGACGUAGACGCUAUUCCCUAAGAUUAACCCAUGCAUGUUUUUGACAUUUGAAAAAUGGACUGCUCAGUAAUACUCACUUUAUUUUAUGUAUAUUUGAAAUCAACUACUUUAAAGUGUAGAUAAGAUGUGUACAGUAAGAGUGAGACCUAUCAGCUAGUUGUUAAGGUAAUGGCUUAACAAGGCAGUGACGGGUAACGGUAUUACUUUGUAAUAUUCCGGAGAAGGAGCCUGAGAGACGGCUACUAAGUCUAAGGAUUGCAGCAGGGGCGAAACUUGACCUAUGGAUUUUAUCUGAGGCAGUUAUGGGAAGUAAUAUUAUAUUGUUUCAUAUUGUAAAAGUAUAUGAGGUGAUUAAUUGGAGGGCAAAUCAAGUGCCAGCAGCCGCGGUAAUACUUGUUCCAAGAGUGUGUAUGAUGAUUGAUGCAGUUAAAAAGUCCGUAGUUUAUUUUUAAGAAGCAAUAUGAGGUGUACUGUAUAGUUGGGAGAAAGAUGAAAUGUGACGACCCUGACUGGACGAACA